CCGGGUACAAUGCGAAGCGAAGCAGUGAUGUGAAGCAAAUCGCACCAAAGCCGGUCCCAGUUCGGAUAAGAGGCUGAAACUCGCCNCUUUGAAGUCGGAAUCGCUAGUAAUCGCAGAUCAGCAUGUUGCGGUGAAUACGUUCCCGGGUCUUGUACACACCGCCCGUCAAACCAUGAGAGUCACCAACACCCGAAGUCCGCUUUGGCGGCCUAAGGUGGGGGAGAUGAUUGGGGUUAAGUCGUAACAAGGUAAC
rnacentral:rRNA from 1 species